CCUACGGGAGGCAGCAGUGGGGGAUAUUGCACAAUGGGGGGAACCCUGAUGCAGCGACGCCGCGUGGGUGAAGGAGUGCUUCGGCAUGUAAAGCCCUAUCGGCAGGGAAGAAGCAAGACGGUACCUGACUAAGAAGCCCCGGCUAACUACGUGCCAGCAGCCGCGGUAAUACGUAGGGGGCGAGCGUUAUCCGGAUUAACUGGGUGUAAAGGGAGCGUAGACGGACGUGCAAGCAAGGGGGGAAAGCCCGGGGCCAAACCCCGGGACUGCCCUUGAAACUGCAUGGGUGGAGUGCGGGAGGGGCAGGGGGAAUUCCUGGUGAAGCGGUGAAGUGCGUAGAUAUCAGGGGGA
rnacentral:rRNA from 1 species